rnacentral:lncRNA from 1 species
CAAAAAGAUAAGAGAUAAUGAGAGACAGGACUAGCUGGAUUUCCUAGGCCGACUAAGAAUCCCUAAGCCUAGCUGGGAAGGUGACCGCAUCCACCUUUAAACACGGGGCUUGCAACUUAACUCACACCCAACCAAUCAGAGAGCUCACUAAAAUGCUAAUUAGGCAAAAACAGGAGGUAAAGAAAUAGCCAAUCAUCUAUUGCCUGAGAGCACAGCAGGAGGGACAAGGAUCGGGAUAUAAACCCAGGCAUUCGAGCCGGCAACAGCAACCCCCUUUGGGUCCCCUCCUUCCUAUGGGAGCUUUGUUUUCACUCUAUUUCACUCUAUUAAAUCUUGCACUGCACUCUUCUCGUCCAUGUUUGUUACGGCUCGAGCUGAGCUUUUCGCUCGCCGUCCACCACUGCUGUUUGCCACUGUCGUAGACCCGCCCCUGACUCCCAUCCCGCCACUGACUCCCAUCCCUCCAGAUCCGGCAGGGUGUCCGCUGUGCUCCUGAUCCAGCAAGACUCCGGUUGCCACUCCUGAUUUUGCUAAAGGCUUGCCAUUGUUCCUGCACGGCUAAGUGCCUGGGUUCGUCCUAAUUGAGCUGAACACUAGUCACUGGGUUCCACGGUUCUCUUCCAUGACCCACAGCUUCUAAUAGAGCUAUAACACUCACUGCAUGAUCCAAGAUUCCAUUCCUUGGAAUCCGUGAGGCCAAGAAUCCCGGGUCAGAGAACACAAAGCUUGCCACCAUCUUGGAAGCGGCCCACCACCAUCUUGGAAGCGGCUUGCCACCAUCUUGGGAACUCUGUGAGCAAGGGCCUCAGGUAACAUUUUGGUGACCACGAAGUGACCUCCAAAGCGAUGCGGAGUCUCACUGUGUUGCAAAUUCCUGACCUCAAGUGAUCUUCCUGCCUGGGCCUCAAAGUGCGGGGAUUAUACGCAGGGGCCACUGCUUUCAGCCUUUAAAUUCUGUUAAAAACAGCGUUGGUGAGAAAGAAAAUGUCUACUUCCUGAGAAAGACUGAUAAGAAUCUAAAAGGCAUAAUUUUCUCAUAAAAGGGCAGCUGCAUAUGUUGGCAUGAUUGAUGAGAUCUGCUACAGUCAAGCAAGCAGCCCUGGGUGACCAGUUUACCCUUCCCUGCGAGGGUUCCAGCUGCCAGUUGCCCCCAUUCUGUGACAGCUUCUCCUUCUCCUCACCUUGUCAUCCAGCCAAGAUUGUACACUGUAGGAGUACAGGUGAGCAUCUGCCUCCAUAAUCAUUGCCAACAGCCCUCCAUUAUCAACUGCCAGGGGUGCUUCAAAGCAAUGUGGAGUUCUUUCUCUUGACACAGGGACCAAGUGUAUUUAUGCCUGAAACAAACUCUGCCUUUGCUGACUAGGGAAACUCACAUGUAAAAUGUUUUUUUUUAAUUGCAUCACAAAUCACUACAGUAUUAUAAAACAGGUCGUAGCAUCCUCCAGCCCUCACCACCAUGACCCCCAUCAGGUAUUGUACAUUAGACUAUGUAAAGACCUUUCACUUAAAAAUAGGGAUUUUCUCCCUGGUUAUUAUAUUCUCAUAUAAAAGAAAAAAUAAAAAGCUCUGUCAAACAUUUUCACUCCAGCGUCGUGUAAAUUAAAUCUACCUAUAAAGGUGAAUUAUCUUACAACAUCUGUCCUUCUGUUUGUACAGCCACACCAUGUGUGGAUCAGAAAUAAACAAGACAGAUAAUUUGUGUAUAGCAACAUUAAAGUGAAUUCUACUGUUUUGGUUUUUAACUGCAUGAUGUUAAAAUUUUUAUUGUUAAAUGAUCUAUGGUUGUAAUUUAAUAUUUACUGAGAGUCCACAGUAAUCUAGGAACUAUAUGGACUAUAAAUAAGAUGUAACUCCU